UAAGCGACUAAGCGUACACGGUGGAUGCCCUGGCAGUCAGAGGCGAUGAAGGACGUGCUAAUCUGCGAUAAGCGUCGGUGAGGUGAUAUGAACCGUUAUAACCGGCGAUUUCCGAAUGGGGAAACCCAGUGUGUUUCGACACACUAUCAUUAACUGAAUCCAUAGGUUAAUGAGGCGAACCGGGGGAACUGAAACAUCUAAGUACCCCGAGGAAAAGAAAUCAACCGAGAUUCCCCCAGUAGCGGCGAGCGAACGGGGAGGAGCCCAGAGCCUGAAUCAGUGUGUGUGUUAGUGGAAGCGUCUGGAAAGGCGUGCGAUACAGGGUGACAGCCCCGUACACAAAAAUGCACAUAUUGUGAGCUCGAUGAGUAGGGCGGGACACGUGGUAUCCUGUCUGAAUAUGGGGGGACCAUCCUCCAAGGCUAAAUACUCCUGACUGACCGAUAGUGAACCAGUACCGUGAGGGAAAGGCGAAAAGAACCCCGGCGAGGGGAGUGAAAAAGAACCUGAAACCGUGUACGUACAAGCAGUGGGAGCCUCUUAAUGGGGUGACUGCGUACCUUUUGUAUAAUGGGUCAGCGACUUAUAUUCUGUAGCAAGGUUAACCGAAUAGGGGAGCCGAAGGGAAACCGAGUCUUAACUGGGCGUUAAGUUGCAGGGUAUAGACCCGAAACCCGGUGAUCUAGCCAUGGGCAGGUUGAAGGUUGGGUAACACUAACUGGAGGACCGAACCGACUAAUGUUGAAAAAUUAGCGGAUGACUUGUGGCUGGGGGUGAAAGGCCAAUCAAACCGGGAGAUAGCUGGUUCUCCCCGAAAGCUAUUUAGGUAGCGCCUCGUGAAUUCAUCUCCGGGGGUAGAGCACUGUUUCGGCAAGGGGGUCAUCCCGACUUACCAACCCGAUGCAAACUGCGAAUACCGGAGAAUGUUAUCACGGGAGACACACGGCGGGUGCUAACGUCCGUCGUGAAGAGGGAAACAACCCAGACCGCCAGCUAAGGUCCCAAAGUCAUGGUUAAGUGGGAAACGAUGUGGGAAGGCCCAGACAGCCAGGAUGUUGGCUUAGAAGCAGCCAUCAUUUAAAGAAAGCGUAAUAGCUCACUGGUCGAGUCGGCCUGCGCGGAAGAUGUAACGGGGCUAAACCAUGCACCGAAGCUGCGGCAGCGACACUAUGUGUUGUUGGGUAGGGGAGCGUUCUGUAAGCCUGUGAAGGUGGCCUGUGAGGGUUGCUGGAGGUAUCAGAAGUGCGAAUGCUGACAUAAGUAACGAUAAAGCGGGUGAAAAGCCCGCUCGCCGGAAGACCAAGGGUUCCUGUCCAACGUUAAUCGGGGCAGGGUGAGUCGACCCCUAAGGCGAGGCCGAAAGGCGUAGUCGAUGGGAAACAGGUUAAUAUUCCUGUACUUGGUGUUACUGCGAAGGGGGGACGGAGAAGGCUAUGUUGGCCGGGCGACGGUUGUCCCGGUUUAAGCGUGUAGGCUGGUUUUCCAGGCAAAUCCGGAAAACCAAGGCUGAGGCGUGAUGACGAGGCACUACGGUGCUGAAGCGACAAAUGCCCUGCUUCCAGGAAAAGCCUCUAAGCAUCAGGUAACAUCAAAUCGUACCCCAAACCGACACAGGUGGUCAGGUAGAGAAUACCAAGGCGCUUGAGAGAACUCGGGUGAAGGAACUAGGCAAAAUGGUGCCGUAACUUCGGGAGAAGGCACGCUGAUAUGUAGGUGAAGCGACUUGCUCGUGGAGCUGAAAUCAGUCGAAGAUACCAGCUGGCUGCAACUGUUUAUUAAAAACACAGCACUGUGCAAACACGAAAGUGGACGUAUACGGUGUGACGCCUGCCCGGUGCCGGAAGGUUAAUUGAUGGGGUUAGCGGUAACGCGAAGCUCUUGAUCGAAGCCCCGGUAAACGGCGGCCGUAACUAUAACGGUCCUAAGGUAGCGAAAUUCCUUGUCGGGUAAGUUCCGACCUGCACGAAUGGCGUAAUGAUGGCCAGGCUGUCUCCACCCGAGACUCAGUGAAAUUGAACUCGCUGUGAAGAUGCAGUGUACCCGCGGCAAGACGGAAAGACCCCGUGAACCUUUACUAUAGCUUGACACUGAACAUUGAGCCUUGAUGUGUAGGAUAGGUGGGAGGCUUUGAAGUGUGGACGCCAGUCUGCAUGGAGCCGACCUUGAAAUACCACCCUUUAAUGUUUGAUGUUCUAACGUUGGCCCGUAAUCCGGGUUGCGGACAGUGUCUGGUGGGUAGUUUGACUGGGGCGGUCUCCUCCUAAAGAGUAACGGAGGAGCACGAAGGUUGGCUAAUCCUGGUCGGACAUCAGGAGGUUAGUGCAAUGGCAUAAGCCAGCUUGACUGCGAGCGUGACGGCGCGAGCAGGUGCGAAAGCAGGUCAUAGUGAUCCGGUGGUUCUGAAUGGAAGGGCCAUCGCUCAACGGAUAAAAGGUACUCCGGGGAUAACAGGCUGAUACCGCCCAAGAGUUCAUAUCGACGGCGGUGUUUGGCACCUCGAUGUCGGCUCAUCACAUCCUGGGGCUGAAGUAGGUCCCAAGGGUAUGGCUGUUCGCCAUUUAAAGUGGUACGCGAGCUGGGUUUAGAACGUCGUGAGACAGUUCGGUCCCUAUCUGCCGUGGGCGCUGGAGAACUGAGGGGGGCUGCUCCUAGUACGAGAGGACCGGAGUGGACGCAUCACUGGUGUUCGGGUUGUCAUGCCAAUGGCACUGCCCGGUAGCUAAAUGCGGAAGAGAUAAGUGCUGAAAGCAUCUAAGCACGAAACUUGCCCCGAGAUGAGUUCUCCCUGACUCCUUGAGAGUCCUGAAGGAACGUUGAAGACGACGACGUUGAUAGGCCGGGUGUGUAAGCGCAGCGAUGCGUUGAGCUAACCGGUACUAAUGAACCGUGAGGCUUAACCU
rnacentral:rRNA from 1 species